rnacentral:rRNA from 1 species
UACGUAGGGUGCAAGCGUUGUCCGGAAUUAUUGGGCGUAAAGAGCUCGUAGGCGGUCUGUCGCGUCGGAUGUGAAAAUCCAGGGCUCAACCCUGGACCUGCAUUCGAUACGGGCAGACUAGAGUUCGGUAGGGGAGACUGGAAUUCCUGGUGUAGCGGUGAAAUGCGCAGAUAUCAGGAGGAACACCGGUGGCGAAGGCGGGUCUCUAGGCCGAUACUGACGCUGAGGAGCGAAAGCGUGGGGGAGCGAACAGG